CGCACGUACGUUGAGAGGAGCGCACGUACGUUGAGAGGAGCGCACGUACGUUGAGAGGAGCGCACCGGAGAAAGAACACACGAGCUGCGGGACAGUGAGAGGAACACACUGGUAGAAGAGCACACAGGCAGCUGGAUGUCGAGAGGAGCGGAAGAGCACAGCGACAGGCACUGGUGUCGACCAGCGGAACGACGUGGAGUUUGGCCUGGGAGGUCAGAGAAGAAUUUGGCUGCUGGGCAGCCCCACUAUAGGGGAAAACCACCUUCCCACUCCAUUCCCCUUCUGAUCUCCCCAUCCACCUCGCUGAGAGCUACCACAACUCAAUAAAAAACCUAGCACUCGAUCUCCAAGCCCACAUGUGAUCCAAUUUUUCCCGUGCACUAAAGCAAGAACCUGGGAUACAGAAAGCCGUCUGUCCUUGUGAUAAGGCAGAGGGUCUAAUUGAGCUGAUUAACACAAGCCACCUGCGGACAGCUAAGCUGAAAAAGCAUCCUGUAACACACGCCCACUGGGGCCUCAGGAGGUGUAAACAUUCACCCCGAGAGGCUGCAUGGGUCCGCGCCCAUGGUCCCCAUGACUUGCCUGUUUGCCUGCUCUGGCUAAGGGUCUUGACCAGUGGGGCACUGAAGAAGCGAGCCACACCUCCAUCGUACGCCCUGCGAGGAGGGGUCUCACUCAGUGACCCAGGCUGAAUGCAGUGGAACAAUCAUGGCUUACUGUAGCCUUGACCUUGAGGGCUUAAGCAAUCCUGCCACCUCAGCCUGCCUAGUACUGGGACUACAGAAAUUGCCACAGUCACCUCAACCUUCAGCAACCACCAACUUGAUCAAUCAGCAGCCAAUAACGUGAAGUCAUGACCAUUCACCAGCAAAAAGUUUAUGAUUCACCAAAAUAUUAGAUGAUCAUUAACAUUUUUAGCAAUAAUGUAUUUGUCAUUAAGGUGUUAGUGCAUUGGAAAAUCAUUUAAAGAAUGUAUCAGCUAAUUGAAGGCUUAUGUGAUCAUUCAAAGAUAAGCUACCUGAUGAAAAAAUAAAGGUUAAUGCAAUUCAACAACAAAAUUAAUGCUGCAAACAUCUCUCUUCUAUUUUAGACAUUCUUCUAACUGCUGGAACUAAUAAGAUAUGAAUGAUGAAGCUUAUAUUCUUCUAGGAAUGAUAUAUACUUCACACAAAUAUAAAUAAAAAGCCUAGAUAAUUACAAAUAAG
rnacentral:lncRNA from 1 species